rnacentral:tRNA from 1 species
GUGGUGGCUCAGUGGUAGAACACUUGCCUACUGCACAUGAGGCACUGGGUUCGAUCCCUAGCAUUACA